GAUGAACGCUGGCGGCGUGCCUAAUACAUGCAAGUCGAGCGAACAGACGAGGAGCUUGCUCCUCUGACGUUAGCGGCGGACGGGUGAGUAACACGUGGAUAACCUACCUAUAAGACUGGGAUCACUUCGGGAAACCGGAGCUAAUACCGGGUAAUAUAUUGAACCGCAUGGUUCAAUAGUGAAAGACGGUUUUGCUGUCACUUAUAGAUGGAUCCGCGCCGCAUUAGCUAGUUGGUAAGGUAACGGCUUACCAAGGCAACGAUGCGUAGCCGACCUGAGAGGGUGAUAGGCCACACUGGAACUGAGACACGGUCCAGACUCCUACGGGAGGCAGCAGUAGGGAAUCUUCCGCAAUGGGCGAAAGCCUGACGGAGCAACGCCGCGUGAGUGAUGAAGGUCUUCGGAUCGUAAAACUCUGUUAUUAGGGAAGAACAAAUGUGUAAGUAACUAUGCACGUCUUGACGGUACCUAAUCAGAAAGCCACGGCUAACUACGUG
rnacentral:rRNA from 1 species